GAUUAAUAAAACAUCUAAUCCGCCCAUGAGUCAAACAACUGCCUACCAGCUAGUCAAUAAAAUCAGCUUUAUGAAUCUUCUUUUCUUUUUCAAUUAAAAUAUUCCUCCGCGUAGCUUCCACCAAACUACAACUUUUUUAGUUUCCUUGAAAUUUCACACGCAUAAUUUAUACUCAGUAUAUAAACUCAACAAACACCCUCUUCUUUCUCCAUCCAUUUUUCCUCCUCUGUAAAUUGACAAAGAGCUUUCUCUUCUCUAAUUAUCUCUUAAACUCUCUUCGUGUCUUCUUGUAAUUAAAUAUUUGUUUCUGAAUUUGAAGAUGAAUUCAGUAAGAUUGAUGAACCUCUCAUCUGUAAUUAUUGGUUUCAUGUUGAUGGCACUUGUUGAGUUUGGUUUUGGACAAGGCAUGGCUCCUUCUUCUGCCCCUCCUCCUUCUUCUAAUGACGGCACAGCGAUUGAUCAAGGGAUUGCUUAUGUUCUUCUACUUGUUGCCCUCGCGAUUACGUACUUGCUCCAUUAGUACUGCAUGGAGUAUUUUUAUUUUUAGCUAAUUGAUUUGUUCAUUGAUAAUUUAAAUUCUUUAUGUAUUUCUCUCCUGUUAUUCAGAAUGGAGAAAUUUCCAAAUUUUGUGAUUAAAGGAAAUAAAGAAAGGAUACUCAUUAUUUGUGAUACAA